ACUCAGGACUUCCAGGUAAGGAGCCGCUGCUGUCCUCUUGGUCCUCUGUUCUCUGUUUAUAAGCAAAAGGCACAGGACAGGAUCUCUGCUGGAAGUGACCGUGGAAAGAACGAGUUCAAGUGCUAGGUCAGCAGAGGACCCAGCCAUGGAGACUACGGAGCACGGAGCUCUCAGCAUCAACGGUGUACAGGAGAAUGACCUAUGAUUUGACAGACCGUGCAGCUGUGUAUGUCUGUCAUUCUGUAGGCCAAUAUUCUGUAUGUCACUGCUACUUAAAAUCCAGACAUCGGCAAACACCCUCUGAGCGCUGUGCAGCAGAUCACGGGAGAGUCUGUAGCAUGGCAGGAGAAUGUGCUGACAAAAUAAAAUGAGUGCUUCUGUGUACCUG
ensembl:antisense 2010103J01Rik RIKEN cDNA 2010103J01 gene